rnacentral:rRNA from 1 species
CAGUCGCCGCGGUAAUACGAAGGGGCCUAGCGUUGUUCGGAAUUACUGGGCGUAAAGGGCGCGUAGGCGGCCAUCCAAGUUAGAUGUGAAAGCCCUGGGCUCAACCUAGGAAUUGCAUUUGAUACUGUUUGGCUUGAGUUCGGGAGAGGUGAGUGGAAUUCCCAGUGUAGAGGUGAAAUUCGUAGAUAUUGGGAAGAACACCAGUGGCGAAGGCGGCUCACUGGACCGACACUGACGCUGAGGCGCGAAAGCGUGGGGAGCAAACAGGAUUAGAUACCCCUGUAGUCCCUGUCUCUUAUAC